rnacentral:rRNA from 1 species
AGACGCUAUUCCCUAAGAUUAACCCAUGCAUGUUUUUGACAUUUGAAAAAUGGACUGCUCAGUAAUACUCACUUUAUUUUAUGUAAAUUUUUGAUUAAUUAACUACGUUAAAGUGUAGAUAAGAUGUUUACAGUAAGAGUGAGACCUAUCAGCUAGUUGUUAAGGUAAUGGCUUAACAAGGCUGUGACGGGUAACGGUAUUGCUUUGUAAUAUUCCGGAGAAGGAGCCUGAGAGACGGCUACUAAGUCUAAGGAUUGCAGCAGGGGCGAAACUUGACCUAUGGAUUUUAUCUGAGGCAGUUAUGGGAAGUAAUAUUAUAUUGUUUCAUAUUUUAAAAGUAUAUGAGGUGAUUAAUUGGAGGGCAAAUCAAGUGCCAGCAGCCGCGGUAAUACUUGUUCCAAGAGUGUGUAUGAUGAUUGAUGCAGUUAAAAAGUCCGUAGUUUAUUUUUUAAGAAGCAAUAUGAGGUGUACUGUAUAGUUGGGAGAAAGAUGAAAUGUGACGACCCUGACUGGACGAAC